rnacentral:rRNA from 1 species
GAUGAACGCUGGCGGCGUGCCUAAUACAUGCAAGUCGAGCGAACAGACGAGGAGCUUGCUCCUCUGACGUUAGCGGCGGACGGGUGAGUAACACGUGGAUAACCUACCUAUAAGACUGGGAUAACUUCGGGAAACCGGAGCUAAUACCGGAUAAUAUAUUGAACAGCAUGGUUCAAUAGUGAAAGACGGUUUUGCUGUCACUUAUAGAUGGAUCCGCGCCGCAUUAGCUAGUUGGUAAGGUAACGGCUUACCAAGGCAACGAUGCGUAGCCGACCUGAGAGGGUGAUCGGCCACGCUGGAACUGAGACACGGUCCAGAAUACUACGGGAGGCAGCAGUAGGGAAUCUUCCGCAAAGGGCGAAAGCCUGACGGAGCAACGACGCGUGAGUGAUGAAGGUCUUCGGAUCGUAAAACUCUGUUAUUAGGGAAGAACAAAUGUGUAAGUAACUAUGCACGUCUUGACGGUACCUAAUCAGAAAGCCACGGCUAACUACGUG